ensembl:snoRNA LOC120102058 small nucleolar RNA SNORA17
AAUGUAGAGGUGUUGCAGGUGUGGCUACUGUGUCACAUGUGUGUCAAUAGAUGGCAGAGAGGAGAGAGGCUAUGUCUACACUCAGUGUGCUCACCUGUGACCGUCUGAAUGAUUAGUAGCUAACAUU